rnacentral:lncRNA from 1 species
CACAUGUUUAUUCAGAUAAAAAGAGUAUAUUCGGCAGCUGUAUCGAGUUCAUCGGCCGAUUGAAGAGAAGCAUCGGCGGAUUGGUUAAAAAUAUGUAUAUAUACAACGGUCGAUUGUAGAGAAAGGCAUCGGCCGAUUAGCGUCAGCCAGUUGGAAUUGGAAGAAAAUAAAAGUGGCAUCGGCCGAUGGACAAUUGGUAUUGCCGAUUGAAGAAAAAAAAAAGAGAGGGGCAUCGGCCAUUCGUGCGUCUCCUUAUUGAUAAAAAAAUCGGC